rnacentral:lncRNA from 1 species
GGUUGCUAACCCCUUGGGUGCUCCCGUGUUGACUAGUCAGUGUUGGCUAAGGUGGGUAAUGGCUUUGUUAGGAUCCGUACCGUCACUAAGCUGAUCGCGAUACGGUACCCUACUUGUGGGAAAAGUGUACAACCUCUGCAGAGUUAAAACCUAUCCGGGUAGCCGUGUCCACGGCAUUGGACGAGUUACGGCUCGGUCACACAACUAGCU